rnacentral:rRNA from 1 species
GACGAACGCUGGCGGCGUGCUUAACACAUGCAAGUCGAACGGAAAGGCCCUGCUUUUGUGGGGUGCUCGAGUGGCGAACGGGUGAGUAACACGUGAGUAACCUGCCCUUGACUUUGGGAUAACUUCAGGAAACUGGGGCUAAUACCGGAUAGGAGCUCCUGCUGCACGGUGGGGGUUGGAAAGUUUCGGCGGUUGGGGAUGGACUCGCGGCUUAUCAGCUUGUUGGUGGGGUAGUGGCUUACCAAGGCUUUGACGGGUAGCCGGCCUGAGAGGGUGACCGGCCACAUUGGGACUGAGGUACGGCCCAGACUCCUACGGGAGGCAGCAGUGGGGAAUAUUGCACAAUGGGCGGAAGCCUGAUGCAGCAACGCCGCGUGCGGGAUGACGGCCUUCGGGUUGUAAACCGCUUUCGCCUGUGACGAAGCGUGAGUGACGGUAAUGGGUAAAGAAGCACCGGCUAACUACGUG